AGUGAACAUUUAAUUAAUGUGGUCUUCAAUUUCAAAGAUACCACGGACUAACAGAACUGACUUCAUGCCUAUAUCAUACCAUGAGUAUAACAUGAUUAAAGCUCACUUAUAUAUGCUAUAGUUAUUCCAUCCCGGUUAAGCGCUAUCCUUCAUUACAACCCCACAUUACAUUACCCCUCAUUAUUUUUUAAAAUAUUUUUCAUAGUUAUGUAGCAUAUGCAUGCAUGUCUUCCUUGUAAAUUUGUUUAUUUAGUUCAGG